rnacentral:snoRNA from 1 species
AGGAGACUUCAAAGAGGGGCUAUGAAACCAGGAACUUUUAAUGCAGUGACCAAAGAUUGAAGUUCUGUACAGGAUGCUAUAGUCACAUAGUAGUGCUCUUUUCUUGAGGAAAUAUGUCA